rnacentral:rRNA from 1 species
AUUGAACGCUGGCGGCAGGCCUAACACAUGCAAGUCGCACGAGUGGCGGACGGGUGAGUAAUGUCUGGGAAACUGCCUGAUGGUGGGGGAUAACUACUGGAAACGGUAGCUAAUACCGCAUACCAUCAGAUGUGCCCAGAUGGGAUUAGCUUGUUGGUGGGGUAAAGGCUCACCAAGGCGACGAUCCCUAGCUGGUCUGAGAGGAUGCACAGCCACACUGGAACGGAGACACGGUCCAGACGUCUACGGGAGGCAGCAGUGGGGAAUAUUGCACAAUGGGCGAAAGCCUGAUGCAGCCAUGCCGCGUGUAUGAAGAAGGCCUUCGGGUUGUAAAGUACUUUCAGCGGGGAGGCGUUACCCGCAGAAGAAGCACCGGCGAACUCCGUGCCAGCAGCCGCGGUAAUUC